CCCUUAGAUGUUCUGGGCUGCACGCGCGUUACACUGAUGCAUUCAACGAGCUUAUAACCUUGGCCGAGAGGCCCGGGCAAUCUUGUUAACGUGCAUCGUGAUAGGGAUAGAUUAUUGAAAUUAUUAAUCUUGAACGAGGAAUUCCUAGUAAACGCAGAUCAUCAAUCUGCAUUGAUUACGUCCCUGCCCUUUGUACACACCGCCCGUCGCACCUACCGAUUGGAUGGUCCGGUGAAGCCUCGGGAUUGUGGUUCUUGCCGCUUUAUUGUGGCGUGACCGCGAGAACUUGUCUAAACCUUAUCAUCUAGAGGAAGGUGAAGUCGUAACA
rnacentral:rRNA from 1 species